CCUACGGGAGGCAGCAGUGAGGAAUAUUGGUCAAUGGGCGGAAGCCUGAACCAGCCAAGUCGCGUGAGGGAAUAAGGCCCUACGGGUCGUAAACCUCUUUUGCCGGGGAGCAAGGGCCGGGACGAGUCCCGGUCCGGAGAGUACCCGGAGAAAAAGCAUCGGCUAACUCCGUGCCAGCAGCCGCGGUAAUACGGAGGAUGCGAGCGUUAUCCGGAUUUAUUGGGUUUAAAGGGUGCGUAGGCGGGCUUUUAAGUCAGCGGUAAAAAUUCGGGGCUCAACCCCGUCCGGCCGUUGAAACUGGGGGCCUUGAGUGGGCGAGAAGAAGGCGGAAUGCGUGGUGUAGCGGUGAAAUGCAUAGAGAUCACGCAGAACCCCGAUGGCGAAGGCAGCCUUCCGGCGGCCUACUGACGCUGAGGCACGAAAGUGUGGGGAUCGAACAGGAUUAGAUACCCCUGUAGUC
rnacentral:rRNA from 1 species